rnacentral:rRNA from 1 species
UACGUAGGGUGCGAGCGUUGUCCGGAAUUAUUGGGCGUAAAGGGCUCGUAGGCGGUUUGUCGCGUCGGGAGUGAAAACUCAGGGCUUAACCCUGAGCCUGCUUCCGAUACGGGCAGACUAGAGGUAUGCAGGGGAGAACGGAAUUCCUGGUGUAGCGGUGAAAUGCGCAGAUAUCAGGAGGAACACCUGCGGCGAAGGCGGGUUGCUGGGCUGACACUGACGCUGAGGCGCGAAAGCUAGGGGAGCGAACGGG